AUGAAAAGAAAAGAAAAACAAAUCUCCCCACAACCUCCUCCCUCAAAAAAAAAUCUCCCCGCAACCUCCCCGCAGCCUUCUUUGCCUCCUCUAUCUCACCGGCGCGUCGUGGAGCGACCCUUGCCGGAGUGGCGCCACAGAUCCUCAACUAAAUCGAACAUGUAAAGAUUGUUGCCGGCAACUAUGGUGUCGUAGCAGCUGCUCAGGCUCAACUCGCAUGGGAGUUCGUUCCCAAUGGAAAGCGACGACCAUGCCGGAGACAAGGCGGUGGAUGGGCUCGGGGCGGCAUCGCGGCUCCACGCCGGCGUCGUGACCGCCGCCCAGCAACUCCUCCUCUAUUGCCAAUUUGCGAUCGAUUUAGGAAAAGAUGAGGCGCCGCGGCUCCACGCCGGCAUCGUCCCCGCCGCCUAGCAACUCCUCCUGUACUGCCAUUCUCAACUCCAAUUUGCGAUCGAUUUAGAAAAAGGAUCGAUCUAUGAUAUCCAGUAGAUGAUAUAUAAUCCCAUGAUAGAUGAUGAGUGAUGCAAGGGUGGAAUAGGCAUGGCUGUUUGUAGUAAAUUAAGAGGACAUCGACGUAUCUGAGGAUGCAACGCCGGAGUGGCGCCACAGAUCCUCAACUAAAUCGAACAUGUACAGAUUGUUGCCGGCAACUAUGGUGUCGUAGCAGCUGCUCAGGCUCAACUCGCGUGGGAGUUCGUUCCCAAUGGAAAGCGACGACCAUGCCGGAGACAAGGCGGAGGAUGGGCUCAGGGAGGCAUCACGGCUCCACGCCGGCGUCGUGAACGCCGCCCAGCAACUCCUCCUCUAUUGCCAAUUUGCGAUCGAUUUACAGAAAGGAUCGAUAAUCUAUGAUGUCCUGUAGAUGAGGCGCCGCGGCUCCACGCCGGUGUCGUCCCCGCCGCCUAGCAACUCCUCCUGUACUGCCAUUCUCAACUCCAAUUUGCGAUCGAUUUAGAAAAAGGAUCGAUCUAUGAUAUCCAGUAGAUGAUAUAUAAUCCCAUGAUAGAUGAUGAGUGAUGCAAGGGUGGAAUAGGCAUGGCAGUUUGUAGUAAAUUAAGAGGACAUCGACGUAUCUGAGGAUGCAACUCUAUACGAAGGACUGAUGGAGGGGUUAUUGACACCGUUUGAGUUCACUGCCUGCAGCUCCUGCAUCCACUCAGCUGCACCCACCGUAUCCUUAUAUUUUUUGGUAUAUAUUAUCCAGCCCAUUGAACACAGAGCAGAAUCCCCAAUGAUUGUUUAGGAACUAGAUAUUUGUACUCAUGAAAUUCAUCUCUAAUCCCAUGUCGAGACAUUGAUAUUUACCUGCAGAACAUUACCAACCUAGAUUUCUUGGCAGUGCACUGCAUAUUUAGUUCUUCCAUCAAUUUUGUCAUUCUAACAGAAAAAUGGAGCUGAUUCUCACUAGGUGCAGUCAUGGACUGCUGAUAUAACUUCACGGAUGGUAUUUGCUGGAAACUAGAUUCUUAUCUUCUGGUAUUGCCUACAUAUUUCAAAGUGUUUCAGUUUCGGUCAAUGUAGAUUAGUCUUAUUAUGAGUUACACAUGAACCUUUUUUUAACAUUUAGUACAUGUUCAGUUAUCCUUUCUUCAGUUUCCCAUGAUGUGCAUAAUAAUUAACUUCAAAACUUUGUCGAGUAUUAUUUGUUAUAUAUGCAUGAAGUAUCUACAGUUAAUUUCCUGUUGUAAAAAUCAUUUGUUAGUAGCUGAAUCAGAGGGAAAUCUAUGACAAGAAAACCAUCACACAAAUCUUUAAUUAACAGGAAGACGUUACAGAGUAGUAUUACUUAUUAUAUGUGGGUAGUACGUACAAUUAAUCUUUAGUUAUAGAAAAUCAUUUGUCAGUAGCUGAAUCAUAGGGAAAUUUGUGAUAACCGAAUCAGCAUAUAAAUCAUAGUAAUUCUAAGCUACUUUUGUAAGUUCAUUCGAGUGGACUUCGAUGUAAGUAAAUUUUCAUUUUUAUCCUCAUAUCUUGGAUUCUAGGUGAUGAGCCUCGGUUUUGUUGCAUCACAGUUUUGUAUGAUUGGCCACGAGCUACACAAGUACUCCCUCUGAUCCAAAAUAAGUGUCGUGGUUUUAGUGCAAAUUUGAAUUAAAACCAUGACACUUAUUUUGGAUCGGAGUGAGUACCAUAUAGUGUACAUAUAUUUAUGUUGAUGUUAGAAGGCGGAAUGUUAAAAGUUUUCCCAUGCUCUUAUUAUAAAUCUCUUCAUAGUAGCGAUAUGCAGUUUGUGAUUUGUUUCUUUUAACUUCUAUCAGCAUGGAUGAUAUUCCUAAAGGUUGGUCCUGACACUCAGAAGCUCCUCAUAGAGCAGCAGAGCUGCCCUCUCCAUGGCACAUCACUCUGCGUCUAAAUGAGUAGAUGUGCAACCUUCGUGUAUAAAACUAUCAUAUUUCUGCAUGCUAUAACUUACAAAGAAUAAUGUCUCAUGUGUAAAAUAUAUACAGAAUUUUUGGGUCACCACAAGAUUCCUGUUAUAUUAAUGGGCACAACCAAUUUUAGUAUGAACCCCUGUCUUAUUAUGCAUCCAUUGGUUCAUAUUUCAUAUGAUAAAUCUACUAUAGGAUCACUAUAUACACAUAGGAAUCUAGAUUACAUACACAAUCCAAUGGCAAAGAGGGUUCUGUUGAGUUAUUUAACUCAUCCAUUGAACCUUUGGUUCGAGUUUCUGUCCAUUGUAAAGAAAGAUUUUACAACUUUUACCCAACGACUAACAACCAUCAAAAUACAAUUAACUAUAUGUUAGCUUAGCAAACAUGGCAAUAUAUUUUACCGUGUCCUUACAAGACGCACAUUUUCCACAAAUAGGAAAUCUGGCUCUCUGUCAUUUGUUCUUUUUUAUGCUUGGCUGCCCAAUAGAUAGAACUGUUACGUUUUAGUUUGUUGCACCUUAUUGUUUUCUAGAGAUACUAAAAUUUAUCAUGGAGUAGAUCAACUUAACAUUACAUGAAUUUGUAGUUGUAAUUGGGUGGCGAUCGUUCACACAGUUGUUCUGACCAGUAAUGGGAUGCUAAUUCAUCCUAACGAUUGCAUCUUCAACGACGCGCGCCCAUCCAUCCUAACGUUAGUUCACGGCAUCAAGGAGGAGGCCAAACUUUGGGCUCUGGCAGGCGAUGCUGGACUUAGAGUAGUUCGGCCCCCGACCUGGGAUGUGCAUUAGCUCAUGUCCCCGACUGUAAUUCGCCUCCUAGGAGGGCUGUAACAUAAAACACUCUCUCUUUUCCCGAAAAAAAAGGAGUUCUAUUUUAAGCUAAUACUUCUGCUACAAGAUCCGGUGAACAUUAUUGGACCAUUUUAGGCCAGCGUGCACAAGGUAACACGUAAGUAUCAUACUAUUAUUUGUGCCACAUUCAUAUAUAUAUAUAAUUCAUACAUAUAUAUAUAUAUAUAUAUAUAUAUAUAUAUAUAUAUAUAUAUAUAAUUGUAUUUCCGCUGGGACAUAGUACCCGCGGAAAUCCAGUUCGUUAAGCUUCACAAUAAUUUCCGCAUGUAAUUCACAUCACAUUUCAUGUUCUGUGCCAGAAGAUAUUAUAGCAGAGUUGAUUAAACUGUGUUGUUGCUUGAUUUGAGCUUAUUUUGAUUUUUAAAAUGCCCACAUAUGAUUUUGGAAAAAAGGUGUGUAGAAAGAGAAAACCAUAGAGAGAUUGCAUUUUCCCCAACUAUUCAUACUUGCAUUUAUCAUAUUUCUUCACCAAUGUUUAUAUUGAAAGUCGCUCACAUAUUCGGUUCAUGUCAAACUGGGGUCCAUCCGAGGAUGCAUUACACAUGAUAAUGUGUGUAAGUAAGAACAUUAGUGCAUUUGCAGAAGCUGCGCUCAACAUCGCGCAUGAUAUUACUCCAGAUUUUAUUUUAUUUAACUAUCCAUGUUAAUUCCACCAUAAAAGUUCUAUUUCUAUUUAUGUGUUGUUUCUUCACAACAAGAAAUAAUCAUGACAGUAAUUCCGCUGGGCUAAUUGCUUCUCUUCUAUUUCCAACAUCCAAGAUUGACAUAUUCAACACAUGGCAUAUCUUUAGGUUAUUUAUCAUUCAACAUUUGGUGUCCAUUUUAUGGUUUUUCUGUAGUACUUAAUAAUACCUAUAGUGUAGUAGGCUCAUUAUUGAUUGCUAAAAAUCGGUGUUCCAUUUUGAAAACACGUAAAUUCCAGCAAAUUAAAUUUACACAUGUGCUUUGUUUUGUCGCCAGGUGGUUGUCAAGGAAGAAUUUCCUAGAGCAGCUGCUAUUGGAGAAUUCAGGGAUGAAACUAGGUUUCUGUGAUAAUCUUAGUUGAGGCCAAUUUACAUGCUUUCAUUUGCAUCACCAAUUCUCAUGACCAUGGUUGAUUUUCAAGCAUCACAAAAAUAUCAUUUUCUGAUUAUCCUGAAGAGUAAAUCUGAAUGCCUUCCUUCUCCUUAUUUGGAAUUAGGACAACAGUUUUUCUACUUAUCUUUCCUCCUUUAUACACGAAGGUUACCAUUCUAAUUUUGUCCCUUCUAAACUGCCCCAAGUUGUUCUGAAUGUUACUCCAGUAAGUUGUACAAAAGAUGACUGGAGCUAAUACAGUACGUUUGAAGUUUUACUACUCCCCUGUUCUCAUGAGUUUCGUGUGACUGCAGCAGUGCAACUAAUGUAGUACUCCCUCCCUCCCAAAAUAUAAGAUCAUUUUUGACACUAUGAUAGUGUCAAAAAUGGUCUACAUUUUGGGACGGAGGGAGUAUGUUCGAAGUAUUACUACCCCUCCCUAUUCUGCUCAGUUUGGCUUCUGUCAUUAGUUUUUAAAGUGAAAUUCACAUUUUAUAUGUAGACAAGAAUGCGCUUUUGUGAAGUUAGAACUAUACAAAUCAAACUUUAGUAUGUAUUAAUUUCGAAGUUUGUGCAUUACUUGAAAAAUAUUCAGUCUUUGCAUAUCUAGGCUUACAUUGACGUAGUUCUCCGCCCCUUUGAGCUCCAAGCAUUUCAUCGAUCAAGAUACCAUGAAUCUUCUUUGACCCUCUCCUAAAAAAUAUAGGAAUGGCUAAAGAAAGAUCAAUUCUAUGUAGAAAGGCUUGCUUUGUCAACUAUUUCUACUAGCGAUCCAGAGACAACCGUCUCAUCCUAAGUACAGUUCUGUCAUAUUUUAGUAAAUUAUUAUGUCGACUGACUAAAAAUAUUUGCCAAUCUUCGUAAUGGCGGAAAAAGGAACACUUUUAAGUUCUGUAUCAGGGUUAUGCAAGUUUACAUGUAUUGAAACUUGUGCAAAAGGACAUGGUCUGUUUUACUUCUCAUGCACUGUGUGCUAUAGAUAGAGGAAUUGAGUACUGGGUAAUGUAAAUGUGAUAGUAUGAUGUUUGCAAACCGAUGAAGAUGAAGACAAAAAAGGGUCAUAUAUCUA